AACGCAUAUUGCGCUCUCUGGUAUUCCGGAGAGCAUGCUUGUUUGAGUAUCAGUAAACACCCUCAGAACUUUCUUGAUUUUCGAAUCUUGGAGCCUCUGGAUUUGAGUGAUCCCAACGUGUUCUUUUCGCAGAAUAUGGCGGGCCACUUGAAAUGCAGGUGCAGCUGGACUUUCUUCUGAGCUAAAAGCAUAUUUAUUUAGUCCUGUCAACACUUGUGUUGCGGAUUAUUACUUCUGCUGCAGCUUACAUAAAGGUUGAUUGUUCCAAAUGCUGACUGAUGCAGGAUUUAUCAGGUAGCGUAAAAGCGAUCUGUUAAACUCGAUCUCAAAUCAAGUAAGACUACCCGCUGAACUUAA
rnacentral:misc_RNA from 1 species